rnacentral:snRNA from 1 species
GUGCUCACUUUGGCAGCAUGUAUACUAGAAUUGGAACAAUACAGAGAAGAUUCGCAUGGCCCCUGAGCAAGGAUGACACGCAAAUUAAUGAAGCAGUUCCAUUUCUA